CCUACGGGGUGCAGCAGUGGGGAAUAUUGGACAAUGGGCGAAAGCCUGAUCCAGCCAUGCCGCGUGUGUGAAGAAGGCCUUCGGGUUGUAAAGCACUUUCGGUGGGGAAGAAAGCCUUGGGGCUAAUACCCUCGAGGAAGGACAUCACCCACAGAAGAAGCACCGGCUAACUCCGUGCCAGCAGCCGCGGUAAUACGGAGGGUGCGAGCGUUAAUCGGAAUUACUGGGCGUAAAGCGCGCGUAGGCGGUCUGAUAAGCCGGUUGUGAAAGCCCCGGGCUCAACCUGGGAACGGCAUCCGGAACUGUCAGGCUAGAGUGCAGGAGAGGAAGGUAGAAUUCCCGGUGUAGCGGUGAAAUGCGUAGAGAUCGGGAGGAAUACCAGUGGCGAAGGCGGCCUUCUGGACUGACACUGACGCUGAGGUGCGAAAGCGUGGGUAGCAAACAGGAUUAGAUACCCCGGUAGUC
rnacentral:rRNA from 1 species